AGGGUUUGAUUCUGGCUCAGAGUUAACGCUGGCAUCGUGCAUAACACAUGCAAGUCGAACGGGACUUUAAUUUGUAGCAAUACAGAUUGAAGUUUAGUGGCAGACGGGUGAGUAAUGUAUAAGUAACCAACCUUUAAGUGGGGAAUAACAAUCCGAAAGGGUUGCUAAUACCCCAUAAUAUCUAAUAGCGGCAUCGUUAAUAGAUUAAAGAUUUAUCGCUUGAAGACGGACUUAUAUUCUAUCAGCUAGUUGGCAGUGUAACGGACUACCAAGGCGACGACGGAUAGCCGGCCUGAAAGGGCGACCGGCCACAAGGGCACUGAGACACGGGCCCU
rnacentral:rRNA from 1 species